rnacentral:rRNA from 1 species
GACGAACCAUGCGAACGUUGUUCGGAAUCACUGGGCUUAAAGGGCGCGUAGGCGGGCCCCCUUGUCCGGGGUGAAAGCUUUCGGCUUAACCGGAAAAGUGCCCCGGAAACGGGGGGCCUGGAGGGAGGUAGGGGCGGCCGGAACUUCCGGUGGAGCGGUGAAAUGCGUUGAUAUCGGAAGGAACGCCGGUGGCGAAAGCGGGCCGCUGGACCUCUACUGACGCUGAGGCGCGAAAGCCAGGGGAGCGAACGGG